AGUUAAGUGAACAAGAGCGCACGGUGGAUGCCUUGGCACUAGGAGCCGAUGAAGGACGGGACAAACACCGAUAUGCUUCGGGGAGCUGUAAGUAAGCUUUGAUCCGGAGAUUUCCGAAUGGAGAAACCCGCUGUCCGUAAUGGGACAGUAUUCUUAUCUGAAUCCAUAGGAUAAGAAAGGCAACCCGGGGAACUGAAACAUCUCAGUACCUGGAGGAAGAGAAAGCAAAUGCGAUUUCCUGAGUAGCGGCGAGCGAAACGGAAACAGCCCAAACCAGAAGGCUUGCCUUCUGGGGUUGUAGGACACUCCUUUGGAGUUACAAAGAAACAAGGUAGGCGAAGCGGUUUGGAAAGACCCGCCAUAGAAGGUAACAGCCCUGUANGAUAUGCUUCGGGGAGCUGUAAGUAAGCUUUGAUCCGGAGAUUUCCGAAUGGGGAAACCCGCUGUCCGUAAUGGGACAGUAUUCUUAUCUGAAUCCAUAGGAUAAGAAAGGCAACCCGGGGAACUGAAACAUCUCAGUACCUGGAGGAAGAGAAAGCAAAUGCGAUUUCCUGAGUAGCGGCGAGCGAAACGGAAACAGCCCAAACCAGAAGGCUUGCCUUCUGGGGUUGUAGGACACUCCUUUGGAGUUACAAAGAAACAAGAUAGGCGAAGCGGUUUGGAAAGACCCGCCAUAGAAGGUAACAGCCCUGUAGUUGAAACCUUGUUUCCUCCGGAGUGGAUCCUGAGUACGGCGGAACACGUGUAAUUCCGUCGGAAUCUGGGAGGACCAUCUCCCAAGGCUAAAUACUCCCUAGUGACCGAUAGUGAACCAGUNAGAGAAAGCAAAUGCGAUUUCCUGAGUAGCGGCGAGCGAAACGGAAACAGCCCAAACCAGAAGGCUUGCCUUCUGGGGUUGUAGGACACUCCUUUGGAGUUACAAAGAAACAAGGUAGGCGAAGCGGUUUGGAAAGACCCGCCAUAGAAGGUAACAGCCCUGUAGUUGAAAUCUUGUUUCCUCCGGAGUGGAUCCUGAGUACGGCGGAACACGUGUAAUUCCGUCGGAAUCUGGGAGGACCAUCUCCCAAGGCUAAAUACUCCCUAGUGACCGAUAGUGAACCAGUACCGUGAGGGAAAGGUGAAAAGCACCCCGGAAGGGGAGUGAAAGAGAACCUGAAACCGUGUGCUUACAAGUAGUUGGAGCCCUAUGCAUAUUUUCCUUUGGAAAAUUGCUGGGUGACAGCGUGCCUUUUGUAGAAUGAACCGGCGAGUUACGAUCCCAUGCAAGGUUAAACAGAUGAUGUGGAGCCGCAGCGAAAGCGAGUCUGAAUAGGGCGUUUUUAGUAUGUGGUCGUAGACCCGAAACCGUGUGACCUACCCAUGUCCAGGGUGAAGGUAAGGUAACACUUANCCCCGGAAGGGGAGUGAAAGAGAACCUGAAACCGUGUGCUUACAAGUAGUUGGAGCCCUAUGCAUAUUUUCCUUUGGAAAAAUGCUGGGUGACAGCGUGCCUUUUGUAGAAUGAACCGGCGAGUUACGAUCCCAUGCAAGGUUAAACAGAUGAUGUGGAGCCUCAGCGAAAGCGAGUCUGAAUAGGGCGUUUUUAGUAUGUGGUCGUAGACCCGAAACCGUGUGACCUACCCAUGUCCAGGGUGAAGGUAAGGUAACACUUACUGGAGGCCCGAACCCACGUACGUUGAAAAGUGCGGGGAUG
rnacentral:rRNA from 1 species